AACGCACAUUGCGCCCUUUAGUAUUCUGAAGGGCAUGCCUGUUCGAGCGUCAUUAUCACUAAUCAAGCCCGGCUUGCUGUUGGACCUCUUGUCGGUAAAAGACAGGCCCCAAAGAUAAUGACGGCGUCAAUUGGACCCUAGAUGCAACGAGCUUUCACUAGCACGCAUUUUAGUAAAACCUUUUGACCCGGUCUUUUUUAACCAAUUUCUAAGGUUGACCUCGGAUCAGGUAGGAAUACCCGCUGAACUUAA
rnacentral:misc_RNA from 1 species